UGGGGAAUUUUGCACAAUGGGGGGAACCUUGAUGCAGCGACGCCGCGUGAGGGAUGGAGGCCUUCGGGUUGUGAACCUCUUUCGCUCGUGUGCAAGCCGCUAUUUGGGUAGUGGUGAGUGUAGCGGGUAAAGAAGCGCCGGCUAACUACGUGCCAGCAGCCGCGGUAAUACGUAGGGCGCGAGCGUUGUCCGGAUUUAUUGGGCGUAAAGGGCUUGUAGGCGGUUUGUCGCGCCUGUCGUGUAAUCCUCUGGCUUAACUGGGGGUGUGCGGUGGGUACGGGCAGGCUUGAGUGCGGUAGGGGAGAUUGGAAUUCCUGGUGGAGCGGUGGAAUGCGCAGAUAUCAGGGGGAACACCGGUGGCGAAGGCGGGUCUCUGGGCCGUUACUGACGCUGAGGAGCGAAAGCGUGGGGAGCGAACAGG
rnacentral:rRNA from 1 species